rnacentral:rRNA from 1 species
UACGGGGGGGGGCAAGCGUUGUUCGGAAUUACUGGGCGUAAAGGGCGCGUAGGCGGUUGGAUAAGUCAGCUGUGAAAACCACGGGCUUAACUCGAGGCCUGCAGUUGAAACUGUCUAGCUGGAGUGUGGGAGAGGAGAGUGGAAUUCCCGGUGUAGCGGUGAAAUGCGCAGAUAUCGGGAAGAACACCCGUGGCGAAGGCGGCUCUCUGGGACGGUACUGACGCUAGACGCGAAAGCGUGGGGAGCGAACAGG